GACGAACGCUGGCGGCGUGCUUAACACAUGCAAGUCGAACGAAGUGGCGAACGGGUGAGUAACGCGUAAUCAACCUGCCAGUCAGAGGGGUACAACAGUUGGAAACGACUGCUAAUACCGCCUACUCAAGGAGGGGAGUGCGUCUGAUUAGCUCGUUGGAGGGGUAACGGCCCACGAAGGCGAUGACCAGUAGACGGUCUUGGAGGGUGAACGGGCAAAUUGGGACUGAGACCCGGCCCAGACCCCUACGGGAGGCAGCAGUGGGGAAUCUUUCGCAAUGGAAGAAAGUCUGGCGGCGCAACGCCGCGUGAGUGAUGACGGCCUUCGGGUUGUAAAGCUCUGUUAAUCGGGACGCGGUACCGGAAUAGAAAGCCACGGCUAACUACGUGCCAGCAGCCGCGGUAAUAC
rnacentral:rRNA from 1 species